rnacentral:ncRNA from 3 species
CUCUCUUAAGGUAGCCAAAUGCC